GGAGGCAUGACCGAGGGGUUUAUGGUGCUCGACUGAUAAUCGAGUAAUCUCGCACCACGGCAUUCGCGGGUUCGAAUCCCGCUGCCUCCA
rnacentral:tRNA from 1 species